AGAGUUUGAUCAUGGCUCAGAUUGAACGUUGGCGGCAGGCCUAAUACAUGCAAGUCGAACGAGAAUGUCCCUUCGGGGGCGAGUAGAGUGGCGGACGGGUGAGUAACGCGUAGGAAUCCACCCAAUAGUGGGGGAUAACCCGAGGAAACUCGGGCUAAUACCGCAUGUGAUCUCCGGUUUCGACCGGGAAUGAAAGCGGGGAUCGGCACGUCGGCGCAAGUCGGCGCUAAGACCUCGCGCUAUUGGACGAGCCUGCGUUGGAUUAGCUUGUUGGUGAGGUAAUGGCUCACCAAGGCUACGAUCCAUAGCUGGUCUGAGAGGACGAUCAGCCACACUGGAACUGAGACACGGUCCAGACUCCUACGGGAGGCAGCAGUAGGGAAUAUCGUGCAAUGGGCGAAAGCCUGACACAGCCAUGCCGCGUGUGUGAAGAAGGCCCUAGGGUUGUAAAGCACUUUCAGCGGAGAAGAAAAGCCAGGGGUUAAUACCUCCAGGUCUUGACGUUACCCGCAGAAGAAGCACCGGCUAACUCCGUGCCAGCAGCCGCGGUAAUACGGAGGGUGCGAACGUUAAUCGGAAUUACUGGGCGUAAAGCGCACGUAGGCGGUUCGUUAAGUGAGAUGUGAAAUCCCCGGGCUCAACCUGGGAACUGCAUUUCAAACUAACGGACUAGAGUGUAGUAGAGGGAGGCGGAAUUUCCUGUGUAGCGGUGGAAUGCGUAGAUAUAGGAAGGAACACCAGUGGCGAAGGCGGCCUCCUGGACUAACACUGACGCUGAGGUGCGAAAGCGUGGGGAGCAAACAGGAUUAGAUACCCUGGUAGUCCACGCCGUAAACGAUGAGAACUAGCCGUUGGGCCCCUUGAGGGCUUGGUGGCGCAGCUAACGCGAUAAGUUCUCCGCCUGGGGAGUACGGCCGCAAGGUUAAAACUCAAAUGAAUUGACGGGGGCCCGCACAAGCGGUGGAGCAUGCUGUUCAAUUAGAGGCAACGCUAAGAACCUUACCACCAUUUGACAUCCACGGAACUUUCCAGAGAUGGAUUGGUGCCUUCGGGAACCGUGAGACAGGUGCUGCAUGGCUGUCGUCAGCUCGUGUCGUGAGAUGUUGGGUUAAGUCCCGUAACGAGCGCAACCCUUAUCCUUAUUUGCCAGCGGGUAAUGCCGGGAACUCUAAGGAGACUGCCGGUGACAAACCGGAGGAAGGCGGGGACGAGGUCAAGUCAUCAUGGCCCUUAUUAUGGUGGGCUACAAGCGUGCUACAAUGGGAGAUACAGAGGGCUGCGAUCCCGCGAGGGGGAGCGAAUCCCAAAAAAUCUCUCGUAGUCCGGAUAGGAGUCUGCAACUCGACUCCUUGAAGUCGGAAUCGCUAGUAAUCGCGAAUCAGAACGUCGCGGUGAAUACGUUCCCGGGCCUUGUACACACCGCCCGUCACGUCAUGGAAGUGGGUUGCACCAGAAGUAGCUAGUCUAACC
rnacentral:rRNA from 1 species